AGCAACGUGGCUCAGUGGAAAGAGCCUGGACUUGGGUGCUAGAGGUCAUGGGUUCGAAUCCCACCUCUGCCA
rnacentral:tRNA from 1 species